UUUUCUAUCUUGGAGAACACAUAACAGCAGCAGUCUCCCAAUACCUGAAGAAGGGUAUUUGUGGCUGAAAGCUUCCAAAGAACUUUUCCCAAGUAUUUUAGUUGGUCUAAUAAAAGAAGAGCCUUGCUUGCCUAUGUCCCUAGACCAUCCUGACUACAACCAACAACCCUGAAAUUGGAUCUAAAUGAUGUGCACCCUUCUUCAGGCAUGGGAAGAGUCUGCUGGUGUUCUCUCUAGGGUUGAAAGAAGCUUAAGCCAAUAUGCAAAAUGCAGGCUUUCUGUAGGACUGGUGAAGAAAUGAUACAUAUCCAUCAAGCUCCGUCCUUCCCUACAUGUAGCUCCUAAAUUACCACAGGCUACAUUCCUAGGCUCUGCAAUCCCAACUAGUAAUCUGUUCUAUUUUCAUCUCAUUUUCCACAGAAUGGGGUGGUUUGAGUAACGUGAGAAUUGGGCAAGGUAGACAAAGCCUACAUAAGAAUGCUGCAUUCCUAAAAAAUAAUUUUGAGUUGAUGAUUCUAGUGUUAUGAUUUGUAGUCCUGAGGAUCCAAAGCAGACACCAUUAUAAUCUAAUACAAACCUGGCAACUUCUGAUCCAAGUACAAGUGCAAGGCUGUCUUGUUUGGACUAUCUUGACUAGGUUAUUUGUUUGUAUGACUGGGACACUUGUUACCCAUCAGCUCUGUGUUGCUGAGGGAGCCCUGGCACCCAACUUGCUGGACUUACAAAGGACUUUUUCUAUUUCCCCCCCCCCCCACGCCUCAUCUACCCAGAACUAAGCAGAAGAAAAGUUUAAUAGGCAUUUCAGGCCAUACAUUCCCCUGUCCCAGUAUGGGAGGCCUAUUUAAACUUGAUUGACUAAAACUCGGUUGCCGGGUUAGGGAAUGCUGAAGCAAGAGACUGAGUCAGAGGGGGUAUGGGCGACAUUUGAACAAUCAUUAAGGGUUCAUCACAGCAUCCAGUCCAUUGUAGCCCUAACCACAAAUGCUGUCAUAUUUUUCCCGGGAUGAGUGGUGGAAGUUCUCCCCACCAAGUUUAUGAACACUCCAAGUAAUCCCUUCAGGUCUGUUAAAAGACUACAGUAAGAUCUGAAAGUCAUGCAAAGCUGAGGCUUAUUCACAACAGGUAAAAUACAAAACACUGAUGCUGACUUCACAGUACAAGCAUAGCUAGGCCAUUGAGAAGAAACAAUGUGGUAUCCUUUCCAGUAUAUCUUCUAUAUACAUAAUAAUUUCAAGCUGGCUCCUAGAUGCCUGGUUAAUCUUUAAAACUUGAUGGUUUUCCUGGUUGUUAAUCAAUUUCUUGAGAUGUUCCAAACUAGAUAACCCCUUGUCACUGAGAAAGGCAAUUCAUUUAAAUUUAAACUGUUUAUAUAACAGGAUUUUCCAUCAAUUAUGGCUUGGGACCCUCUUGAUUUACACAAUUAAAAGAAUGCUUUGAAGGGACUGGACUAAGGGUAUAAGAAAGCUGUAAAGCAGCAAACAGUGUGCUUCAAGAGAGAGAAAUAUCUGACACCAUCCACUGUUGUUCUCAAGAAGCUGAGAGAAACAGAUUGUCUCCCUUCAAUGAUCGUGCUGGGAACUUUGCUUGUCAACAAAUCACCCAAGUGCCUUGGAAUGGUGAGAUCCCAGCUCUCACUCUCUCUUUGUCUUUCUACCUUUCUCUCUCUAGGCAUAGCUUUCUGAGCCUAAAUUGUAUUAGUUAAGCUGAACGACGUUUCCCCAAAUACUCAAUUAAACCAGGGUAAUAUUGUAAUUGUUUUUGCUUGUUUUCUUUUGCAUGUCUAUUACUACUAGUACCAUUAUAAAUUUCAUAUACUUAGCAAUAAAUAACUUUUAUA